rnacentral:sRNA from 1 species
AGGACUAAUGCUGAAAAAAAAACUGGAUGUUUUCACUCGAUCCACUGAAGCAUAUUGCUUUGGAAUUUAUUAUUAUACAUGUUAAGGCCAAAGAUUAAGCGUAGAAAUGAGGAAAUCCAAAAUGCAUCCUCACAGGUUCUUUAAUGGCCUUGGACCACUCAAUAGAACAGAGUACACAUAUGACAGCAUGCACAUACUGAACAUGAGAGCUCUAGUGUGAUGACUAAACAUGCUGAAGUUUGCAUAUUUCAAAAUGUGUAGCAAGUCUUCCUUCUACUAUAAAGGCGCCUUUCAUCCCAGGACAUCUGUACUCUUGAAAUAUUUGAAGUAUUGAACAUUUGAAUUAUACUACUUCUGUUCCUCCACCGACUUUCAACUUCUGAUUCACUUUUAUUCUUCCAUUGCUUAGCAGAAUAUCUGGUGAGGAAACCUCUUUCAAUAAUUGUUCAUCAAAUAAGGCUAAAUUUUAUUUCAACAUCAGGAUGACGCUUCUUGGUAAAAUCACAAAAGUAUGGGUUUUGAAGAGGGUCAAGUGAGGAGAAUAAAUCUACAUGACACAGAGACAAGGCUUCAGAGUCAAGUGUUGCCAUGGUUAAUUCAGUGAUUCGCUGAGUUCUGUCCAAUGUUUGCCUGAAGGCCUCUUUUCUUUGAGUCUGAAGGAAGGGCCAAUCAGGGACAGCCCCACCUGAGAGAUACAUCAUGUCUGCAGACACCAAACCCAGCACUGUUGCCGUGGACAGGAGGUGCUUGCCGUCAGGAACCUAGUGCGAAACUAGGCCAGAAGCAGAGACUGAAGGAAUGGCCAUUCAGAACCUUUCUCACCUGAGUAUACAACACCAAUGAUAGUCAAUAUAUAUAUACCAAACCAGACAAUAUUGAUGAAACCA